CGUACCUUGAUGAAACUGCAUUGUCAUGGAAUGAUAAUAUUUGUGGAUCACUGUGCAUGGAAAACAUCCUUUCAAGAAUGUGGGAGUACUACUCUGGGACUUCUUUACAUGUUCUAGAAACCUCAUAACUGGGAAAACCUCAUCAUCCUGCUGGAUACCAUCAGCCUUGGGAUUCCACUCAAUGACAUGCUCUGUUCCUCUGAUUAGAGGGUGAAGCCAUGGAUUCUAAAACCUCCAUUUAAGGAGGGAACCCAGCUCAGAACCUCUCCUCAUUUCUCAUUAAGCUGAAUUACUUUGGGACUUCUCUCUCUCUUGAGUCUUCAGAUAUCUGAAGGCCAUUCAUGUGGAAGAUGAUCUGUUUGACCACAGAAAGACAAUUAGAAAUAAUGGCUGGAGGACGUAAAGAAGGAAAUUUUAAACUCUAACCUUUGGUUCCAAAAAGCUCUUGUAUGCACAGUAGCUACACCCUGGUAAACUGUCUCAGAAGAUGGGCUAAACCAGGUUGAUGAAAGUAACCAACAGACCUCAAAGCCACCAGUGAGGUGGGAGGUGUUGUCCAUCCCAAGCAGGUGAAGACUUCCCCUGACAGAAUGGGCAGAUGAGAACAAUUUGUUCCAACAGCCAUGAAGGGAGCAGUAGCAGGUGCUAUGGAGCACUUAGAACUUGGUCAGACAUUGAAGAUGCUAAGGUAAUCCACUGCAUGCUGGGCCAUUACCGGUUAUCCUGACUUUUGUCUUCCACUGGACUUCGAUGACUCUGAAAGAGGGAGUGCAACUCUGCCUCACUUACAUCCAAUUCACACUCAAGUCAUGACAUCACCUCAUGAUGCCACCCAUCCUCUUCUAAAACGAAGGAUGAACACUAGCAACAAACUUGAGGUGGCUGAUUGCAAACUUUGCUGUAGCAAAACAUGUGAUAUUGUUCGUGGAAAAUAACAUUAAAGCCUCAGUGUUAGCACUGCCUGCUAGGUGGAACUGUCGAGUCCAAAUUAAAUUGUUCCUGCCUUGUGAACGAAUCACACAUUCUGGAUCCUUCUCUACCACAGUUUUCAGCGUUC